rnacentral:rRNA from 1 species
CACGGUAGGGUGCGAGCGUUUGUCCGGAAUUGAGUUUGGGCGUAAAGAGCUCGUAGGCGGCUUGUCGUCGUCGUCCGUGAAAACUUGGGGCUCAACCCCAAGCUUGCGGUCGAUACGGGCAGGCUAGAGUUCGGUAGGGGGAGACUGGAAUUCCUGGUGUAGCGGUGAAAUGCGCAGAUAUCAGGAGGAACACCGGUGGCGAAGGCGGGUCUCUGGGCCGAUACUGACGCUGAGGAGCGAAAGACGUGGGGAGCGAACAGG